rnacentral:rRNA from 1 species
UACGUAGGGUGCAAGCGUUGUCCGGAAUUAUUGGGCGUAAAGAGCUCGUAGGCGGUCUGUCACGUCGGAUGUGAAAACUCGGGGCUCAACCCCGAGCCUGCAUACGAUACGGGCAGACUUGAGUGUGGCAGGGGAGUCUGGAAUUCCUGGUGUAGCGGUGAAAUGCGCAGAUAUCAGGAGGAACACCGGUGGCGAAGGCGGGACUCUGGGCCAUUCUUGACGCUGAGGCGCGAAAGCUAGGGGAGCGAACGGG